CAAAACACUUUCAAGAAAUGAAACAGUAAAACAAAGCACAUACCAAGAAAUUGGAAGAACUUGUAUCUGGAGAGGAGAAGAAUGAAACCACACCACCAAAUUGGGAAAAAAAAUAUCCAAUAAGAAGCUUACAUGAUGAAUGUCAUAUUAAUGAGUUCAAAGUUGACCGGAGUGGAGCUUUUGUGGCGGAGCUCUGGUGUGAACCUCACAAAGAUGCAAAAAAAAUACAGAUUUAAACUAGAUAUGAUUUUUUUUAUUCUUUUGAUGUCUUUGAUUCCUUUGUUGUUGGUCUGUAGAGAGAGUUGUUCAUGGCUUCAUCAUAGGUGAACAGUUGAAGGUUGAAAAAUGCACAUCCACUAAUUUUCAA